UGGCUCUCCGUCCAUACAAGUGGAUUGGAUGUUUGGAGCAGGGAAACAACAAUGAGGACUGGUGUAUUGUAUACUCCUUCUUCCUAACCAAUAAUGAACAGCAAAUUCACGCGGAAACGAUUGAACGCUCGGCUAACUCAAAGACAGACCUUGAAAGUGGAAAAUCAAAACAUGAGAAAGGCCUCUCUCCGUGUGGGAUUUAUCCACCAGCCAUG